AAGUGGAUGUUCUCUUCAUUUUACAGGUGAGAACACUGGAGUUCAGACAGCCUGGAAACUGUGCUAAAGUCAGGAUCUGGUUCCAAAUCUGCCUCCAGAGCCUGGGCUUUAUUCCUCAGCUAUAGCCUGCUUCCCCAACCUCCAUCUGGAUUAGGAUACUCGACUACGUCCUCUUUCCAUAGGCUGAUAUCCACAGUUUUACCUUCAUUUGAGAAGAAAGAUACUGGAAGCUGAGAGACUUUAAAAUAAUGACAGUCUCUUUUGGAACACGUUUCUAUGAACUGCAGCAGAAUGCAGAAAUCACCAAACCUUUGUGAUUGUGGAUAUCCAUUGGAUUUAUUUAAAGCCCAAUCCUCUUCACAGAAGAAGGUCCUUUCCAGAUAAGAGGAGAUAACUUUAAGCUCCCCGCACCCCCUAGCGAUGGGACCACAGCAACUGCCUACUCACCACCCCUUACCGGGUCGACCACCAUCACCACCACUUCCCAGCACCACAGCGCCACCUGAGCCUGCCAGCAGAGAGCCACUAGACCACUCUUCUAGAAACACUGGUGUUUUCCAGAUGUCUCCCUUGCUUACAAAUCUCCUAUGAUUCCCCAUCAUUAACAGAAUAAAGCGAAAACCUCUCAGCCUGACGUUCCUGAGUCCUCUCUUGUCCCGUGAUGAAAGCCGACCCAGAAGCAAAUUCUGAGGGAAAUGUAGGUCUUGUUUCCGAAUUAUUCCUGCUCUUGCGUAGGCAGCGUGCCAGCCUUGUCUUCAAACGCUCGUCCUGCCCAGGCUCCUCAACUGUCUUGUCAGUUUCAGCCGUACCUUCACCUCCGUCGACUGGUAACACGUGUGGAUCAGAGCUUAAUCAAUGACACAGACUGUCGGUGGCACAUGCCAUCAGCACUUUAGAGACUUCUCAAGGAGAAUAUAUUUUAUACUGGUGUGAACCUGGACCAUCUGAGAGCUCCUUCCCAGGACCAGAAUAUCUUGACCCAUAGGUAGAAAUGCUUCCCUGAACUCUGCUCCUCCCCUAUUGGCCCAUCUCUUCACUUUUCCUCAAACACACUCUAUUAUCAUCUCUCCCAUGUACCUUUGCUGACAUCUGUCCUUCCACCUCCUCCCGGCAGCUCCCAUCCCAGCCUUCCUCAACCUCCCUCCUCUGAACUCGGGUAUGUCACUCAUUUGUUUUGACACUUUGAAUUCCCCGAAUUCUUAAAAUUCGUGGGGAUGGUGGGAGUUUUUCAGUGAACACUGGGCGGGAAGAUAUUCUCCUGAAUUCUCUUAUUGUACCAUGUUUGUGGUUUCAAUUUUUAAAAAUAUUAUCUAAAUCUCUGAUACAGUUGGAACUUGUUUUGGUGUGAUACAUGAAUUAAGAAAACAAUUUUACCAUUUGUCUCAACACCCAAUUAUUCAAAAUCAAAUCUCCCCAGUGAUUGGAAAUGCCAUCUUCAUUAUAAUUUAAGUUCUCAUCUAUUUGGGGUCUCUUUUUAUGGUUCUACAUUCUGUUCAACUGAUCUGUCUAGCCAUGCAAUGAUGUAAAACCAUUUUAGUACUUAUGGCUUUUUAAAUCUAUUUUGAUAUUUGCUAGAGCUGGUCUUUUUUUCAUUAUUCUUGUUUUUCAAAAACUUCCUGGUUAUCACCUGUUUAUUUUUCCAUAUGAACUUAAUAAUCCUCUUGUCUGGUCUUCCUCCACCAAACUCCUGUUGCUGACAUUAUCAGAUCUGAAUUUCAAAAAUCAUUCUGGCUACAGUGUGGAGAACAAGGGUACAUGAGGGAAGACCAGUGAGAAAUGCUAUCGCACGAGUUCACGAGAGACGUGAGGGUAACCUGGACUAGGAGGGUGACAGUAGAGAUGGAGAGAAAAUAGGAUCAAGUGAUACGGAAAAAUUAAAACUGGCAGGACUUGGUGAUGAGUGUGAUUUGGCAGUUUAGGAAGAGGUAGGUGGUUUUCAAGUCUUGCCCGGAGCAACCCUGGGAUUUAGUCCAGUUCUAUAAAGACCCCAAUCUGGAUCAAUCCAAGGAUGCACUGUUAGUUUGGGAGUUGCCCUGAAAAGCAGGGUGCUCUUGGAAAAAGACCUGGAGCUCUUCUGUAAAGAGAUAUCAUUGGUUCAGACAAGAUACCCCAAAGUGAAUUGCUUCCCCCAACCCGUGUCAGGUAUCAGGAAUACCAAACCAGUUUCUAGAGCAUUUCACAGGCUGUGGGAGUGUACCCAUGACCUCAAACCUCAUGGCUCUAAAUGGCAACUGUGUAUUCUGAGACAUUCUGUUACAUCAUAUUUGGGGACUGCAGAGCCAACUUGUGGUUAGUGAAGAAAAAGUACAGUACUUCAGAAGUUUUCCUUUCUUCAGUUCCUCAGAAAGUGAAAUUACCAUAAGAUUCCACUCCUAGGUAGAUUACACCCAAAAGAAUUACAAAUGGGAACACAAAGAGAUCCUUAUAUACCAAUGUUCAUAGCAGCAUUAUUCACGAUAGCCAA